UCUCAGUUACCCGCAUAUGCAUCAGACCAUAUUAUGUUGCUAGUUCAGUGUAAAGUGGUUAAGACUGUGAGCAGUGGUGAUGGUACAAAUGGAAACGAAUGCCUGUGUAUUUUUUGAUACUUCCACAAGGCUCGAAAGGGAAACACCCCUACAAAAGAAGAAAAAUGGAGGUUUCAUUUACUCCCUUGGCGACGGCAGUGAAUUUUGUUCUACUUUACUGUGGAGGGAGCAGAAAAGCAGUCUGUUACCACCAUAUAUCUCACUAUGCUGACAGCUAGCCAAAUUGCCUGUGCUCUGUGGAGCAGCUUGGAAUUGGGCAUCCCAGCCAUGGGUGACAGAGGUGACACACCGCCCUUUCCCCCUCCCCUAGGUUGGCUCCUGACCAGUUUGGUCUCCAUCCUGACAGCAGGGUUAACACUAGCGUUGUCGUUGCAGCUUUCCUGCUUCUUCAAAGAGCUCUUGGACAAAGGAUGUGAAUGAGGUGGCACAGGUGGUGUUCCAGGCAAGAAGUUAAGUAGGAGAGAUUCACUCCUGCACUGCAAAAUCCUAUGAGAAGCUGUCUUACGUGGAUUAAGGAGUUCAACGCAAAAGUUAGGGAUUCAUUAGUUCUGCUGUGGUUGAAAGCAUCUCUGCAAAGCUUAUUUGAACGCUAUUCCAAAUGCUGUGUGAGGUUAUAAAAUAAAUUAGAGUAUUGACUAGCAGUGCAAUAUCGCUGUCAGAACUUCCGUUCUCUAUGAGCUCAGUGUUCAUGUACUAAUUUUACCUUGUCAGGAUACAAAGAGCAGUCAAGUCGCUGACGCGCUUUGACCUUGUCAAGGUACCAGAUUUGCAACAGGUUCAAAUUCAGAAAAGAUCAGUUGAUUUCCCCAAGUUUCUAAGGUAGCUGGAGUAGGCAUAUGUUUUAUGGGUGGUUUUUAUGAAUGAAACAUUAAAUCAAGAACGCACCUUCUCCAUCUCGAGAAUGAUCAUUACACGGUCCAUUUUGCACGGGCUGAUAUUUGUGUAGUAUCAUUGUUCAAAGUAUGGCCUCAGCACACUCACUACAAUGACAGAAACAGCUUCCUACAAUAUUCAUAACGCCAAGUGCAGUCAUAAGGAAUGUUUGAGCAAAGGUGUUAUUAUGAAUGGCACAUAUUAUCCUUGUUUUCCAAUCUCUCUGUAAUUUAUGGACCUGGAGCUGCUCCUCACUGUCAUCGCUUUGGAUUCUGAAGAUGUGAGAUCAACGCAUGGUGAUGUGAUCGCUGAGGAGAAAACACCCAGUUUUGGGGAAAUUGCUUCUGUUGUACUGAAAAAAGGCCCAAUUCACAAGUCUUUAACUUGGAAGAUGUGGCAAGUUUGACACUCUCAUGACAGAAGGUGGCUUCAGGACCUUCACCUAUAAACUGUUUGACUCAGGCUCGUCUCAUCUUGUGGUGGGAGAGAGACGGUGACACAAGUACAGGGAGAAGCUAGUACAGAAUUCUCUGGUGAAAUGACUCAAAUGAAACGAAACUCAUCAGGAAUCAGUGGUGGGUAAAGGACCUCAAACCGUUCAGGUUAUCUACUUGUAUUGACAUCUGAGUAUCUGCAGCUUCAAGACCUUUCUUUGUCUCUGGAAAGGAGAAUAAAGGCAAUUUAAUAAUAAAUAAAAAAAAAAAAAAGGAAAUGCAAGAUCAGUAUCCUUUCCUAUGUGGAUAUUCCUCAUCCUUAUUAACAACAACAAAAAGAUAUGUACCUGUAAAUGAUCAUUUUAGUAGAAAAUUCACUGUCACAACAAAAAUAUUGCUACAUUGCUUCUUCUUCUAUAAGAUAUGUGUGUGUAUGUGCCCAUGUGUGCGUGUGCGUGUGGUGCAUAGCAACAGACUUUGUGCCAAACUGAAAAAUGUUAAAUUUAGCUUGCAGUCAAUAAUAUAGCUGGAAUCCAUCUUGAAAAAAAAAUGAAAAUAAAAAUCGCCAUUAUAAAUGAAAACAGAAUAUCUGGGUAGGUUUAAACCUUC